GCAAGUCGAGCGAGAAGGUUCUUUCGGUAACUGGAGAGCGGCGGACGGGUUAGUAACGCGUGGGAACGUGCCCUAAAGUCUGGGAUAACUAUUAGAAAUGAUAGCUAAUACCGGAUGGUCCCUUCGGGGUAAAGCUUUAGCGCUUUAGGAUCGGCCCGCGUUAGAUUAGGGAGUGGGGGAGGUAAUGGCUCACCAAGACUACGAUCUAUAGCUGGUUUGAGAGGAUGAGC
rnacentral:rRNA from 1 species